UACAGAGGGUGCGAGCGUUAAUCGGAAUUACUGGGCGUAAAGAGCGUGUAGGCGGCCAAGCAGGUCCGUUGUGAAAACUGGAGGCUUAACCUCCAGACGUCGACGGAAACCGCGUGGCUAGAGUCCGGAAGAGGAGAGUGGAAUUCCUGGUGUAGCGGUGAAAUGCGCAGAUAUCAGGAAUGAACACCAAUGGCGAAGGCAGCUCUCUGGGACGGUACUGACGCUGAGACGCGAAAGCGUGGGGAGCGAACAGG
rnacentral:rRNA from 1 species